GGCUUCCCAGAGGACCGGGGAGCAGUCAGUGGUGUUGGGUGCCUGAGAAAUGUCAGGAGCAGGCCGGAGGUCUGAAUACAUUUGUUGUUCUGACAAGCUCUGCCCCGAAAUUAAACUAAGCAAUGGAACCAUCCUGCUUGCGAUCUGAGAAUGAGAAUGGCGAAUCAGGCCAUCGACCAGCCUGCCUUCCCGUCGGACUGAACAUUCCCUGGAGAAACCUUUUCAUCAUAAAGGGGACGGAAGCCUUUCCUGCAAUUGGAUUUUCUGGUGACUUUCAGAACAGGACUUGAGAUAAUUCGUGCCGAGCCCUGGACCUCACCCAACCUCAUCCCCAAGUGUUUGG